rnacentral:rRNA from 1 species
CCUACGGGGGGCAGCAGUGAGGAAUAUUGGUCAAUGGACGAGAGUCUGAACCAGCCAAGUAGCGUGAAGGAUGACUGCCCUAUGGGUUGUAAACUUCUUUUAUAUGGGAAUAAAAUGUUCCACGUGUGGGAUUUUGUAUGUACCAUAUGAAUAAGGAUCGGCUAACUCCGUGCCAGCAGCCGCGGUAAUACGGAGGAUCCGAGCGUUAUCCGGAUUUAUUGGGUUUAAAGGGAGCGUAGGUGGAUUGUUAAGUCAGUUGUGAAAGUUUGCGGCUCAACCGUAAAAUUGCAGUUGAAACUGGCAGUCUUGAGUACAGUAGAGGUGAGCGGAAUUCGUGGUGUAGCGGUGAAAUGCUUAGAUAUCACGAAGAACUCCGAUUGCGAAGGCAGUUCACUGGACUGCAACUGACACUGAGGCUCGAAAGUGUGGGUAUCAAACAGGAUUAGAUAUCCCUGUAGUC